AAAAAAAACACACAACCACAACUACAACACCAACAGUCUGAUCUGAAAAGAACACAAUGAUCAUAUUCUUCUGUUUAAUGUGGAAAGUGAUCCUGGUUUCAGGUUCUUCAGUCCACCAGAAUCCACCUCAUAUUUACAAGAAACAAGGAGAAAAAGCUGAAAUCACUUGUUCACAUCAAAUCGACAGCUACAAUGUAAUCCUCUGGUACAGACAAACAAAGAACAUUGAGAUGAAGCUCCUGGGAUAUAUGCAGUACAGUAAUUCAAACUAUGAACCUGGAGUGAAUGUGCAGAUGAGUGGAGGUGCAAAUAAAGAUCAUACCCUGCACCUGUACUAAACCAUUCAACCAACGCUGGUGUUCACCGUCACACAGAUCACACAUUAAAACUGGAUCUUUAACAAGGCCUAAUAUUUGCAUCACAUCUACAACUACACAUUUCAUUUCAUUUAUUGCUUUAUUUAUUCUGCUCAAUAAUCUGCAGAAACAUAAAAAUCUGUAACUCCAGAGUAAUAAAUAUCAGUAUAUAACACUGGAUUUUCAUAUAUAAAACCAGAUCAAAUUAGCCAUUCUGUGAUUAUUCCUUCAUUUCUUUAGCCUGACAAAAAUCUGCCAUUUUGUUGAACCAUCUACAUAAAUCACAGCAUCAUCAGCAUAAAGGUGGAUUUUUAUGUCAGAAUAAACAGACAGAACAUCUUUAACAUAUGAACUAAGAAGAAGUGGCUCCAGUAUAGAUCCCUGUGAAACACCAGUACAGUGGAUAUAUAAGUGUUUACUCAUACAAACUGUUUUCUCAUUUCAUGGGAAGGGGGACGUCCUAAGACACAAUCUGCUAAAUGAGUUGCUAAUGGGUGGGGUCACUCAUAGAGGAGG